GGCACCUUCCUGGCUGCAGGCAGGAAAGAUUUGAGGUCUCUGGGGCAAUCCUCUGGGACUCUGACUCCAGGCUUUCCUGGGGCCAUUUUCUUGCAGGUGGGGAUGAAAGAGCGGAGCAGGAGGCCAAUGGGGAAAAGAAGCCUGGAGAAGAAAAUUGGGAUGAGCAGACUAAGAUGCAAAGAGGUGAAGGACCUUUCGUAAGUCACAUUGUUAGUAAACAGUGAAGCUGAGUCUCUCCUGUGGUCUGACACCAGAAUCUGAUGGAUGCAGUCUUGAUCUCAUGGUGCAGAUCACAGAGCAUCCAACUGCUACUCAGCGGCAGGGCUGGAACAGGAGUCAGAGAAGAUGCGACUGAGUUUCCAGGCUCUGUGGCCCGAGGAGCCUGGAGGUGCCUGCAGGUCACGGGGUCUGCCUGGACCAGUGCGCAAUGCCUAUUAAUCGGUACUUAAGUGGAUUCAUCAGUGUGGAGCGGCGGCGGCGGCUGCUGAGCUCAGCCCAGGCCCAAAGAGCCGGGAGCUGGGUUAAUAACACCUUAUUUAGCAGAAAAUUCCACUCCACUGGAGCAUGUUUCAGAGGAGUUUGAUUUGAAUGAGGAUUGAUGUCAAUCCUGCAAGGCAAAGGCGCCUGAAGCUGCUGCCACAUCCACCGCUUGUAAAACAAGCCUUUUGUGAUGACCGAGGGGUGCAUGCAGAACACUGCAGCGUUCCACGCACCUCCGCCCCCACCCAGGCCAGGCAGCUGCAGGCUUGUCCACCCCAGGUGGGCAGGAUGGACAGUCCUUAGAGAACCAGCCAGUGGAAACCCUGUCGCACUGGGGAUUCCUGGGCUUUGGAGCCAGUAGACCAGGAUUCAAAUUUGGAACUGCCAGUUCUUAGCUGGGUGAUCUUGGGCAACUUGUGUAACCUCUCAUAGUCUUGGUAGACUAAUGCCUACCACAGAGAUGUUGAUACCCACCUUGGAGAGUUGAUGUGAGGAUUCAGGAAUGAGGGUGCCAUGGGUUAGAGACGUAACACAUUUCCUGCCAAAGAGGUGGCCCUAAGCCACUAGAGACUCCAUCUGACUCCUGUCUCAGGAUGAGGUGGGGAUGUCAGGGGUGGGAGAAGGCGUAUGGGUUGGGUCCAGUAGAGAGUUUGGGAGGGGCUCUUAUGGUUUCACUGUGACUCACCUCUAAGGCUUUUGCUCCAGCCCCUGGUGAAGAAUCAGACAUUGUCUGCCUUCAGCACCAAAAAGUAUGGCUGGCAGGGCCUGGGGCCUCCAGGGCCAAGGCUAUCCCCAGGAUCCGGGUUAGAAACAGUACAUUCAGGUGGCUGGUUGAUCUGUCUGAUGAAGGAUGAUAGGAAAUAAAAUAUCUUUUUUCCCUUCA